rnacentral:lncRNA from 1 species
AAGGGCACGCAUAAAGUUAUUCCUUGAACUAUAAAGAUAUACGACUACAAAGAAGAUGCGAAGAAGUCUAACAUGUUUUAAAGGGGAAGAAAUACAUAUGGUGUCACGAUCCAAAAUCCCGCCUUGGGUGUCAUGAUUACACCUAGUCUCUAAGACCAGGAAAGCCGAUUACUCUUACAACAGUUACGCCAGUUAAACAUGAUAUUAUAAAGCAGAAUUUAAUAUAAAAUACCGAAAUAAAGGUGAUGCAAGUCUACGCGGCGAUAAUCACAACAAUCCUCUCAAGACGAGGUAAUACAGAGUCACAAACUCUACUGAAUACAUAACAUAAUUCAAAAUACAAUACUGUUCGGAUAGAGAUUUGACAGUAGUAAUAUAAGCAAAGGACUCCAUGGGACUGCGGCAACCAAACAGCUCUACCUUGAAUCCUCGCGAUCAAGAAGCUAACUUUGCUUGAAUCCGUUAUCUCCAAUACCUAGAUCUGCACAAAAAUGUACAGAAGUGUAGUAUGAGUACACCACGGUCGGUACCCAAUAAGUAUCAAGACUAACCUCGGUAGAGUAGUGACGAAGUACAAAUCAAGACACCUACUAGUCAUAAUAAUCUGUGCAGAAUAUCAGUAUAAAGCUAAUAACGGAAGCAAGAAACCAUAACGGCAACAAGGGAUACACAUGUAGAAAAGUAGUAAUGUAAUCAGAACAACGUUAAGUACCGGUGAAACCAAAUAAAAAAAAUAAAUGACAACCAAAUAUUCAAACCGCUCUAAUACAAGUUUCACAACAAAAAUUACUAUGAGAUACCUCCUUUCAAAAUCACAAAUCACGAGUCCCAAAUCACCAAUCAUAUGUUUGUGGCACUUCGUGCCCAUAUUAUAAAUCACAACCGUACGGAUAACUCACCUGCCAAUUCCUCAACCCGCCCGUCAUAGUCACAGGCUCACUAUCAAAAUCCGCCUGGUGUGGUCACAUGUCCAAUAUCACAAUGGAAAUAGAUACACAAGAAUACGUGUGCGAGAUCAAUAAAUCUCAAGUUUCAUACUUCUUAACCGAUAUAAAUGUCAUGCUACGGUGUAUGUAUGUGCCAGUGUACUAUUACAAUCCAAGUCAACAUAUAUUGGAAACAACACAACAAGUCACGUAAGGUGCAUGAAACACACAAGAAAAAUUACACCAUCACAUGAAUAUCAUCAACAUCGUGCCCCCAGACAGUCACAUAUCAUCCCUGACAUAGCCACCCUUAUUUCUCCCCAUUGACAAAUCAUAAUAACAAUCUGUAUUACUCCAGACAAUGUAUAUCAAUAGUCACAUGUAUCACUCCGCUUAGACAAUAACACAAUAGCCACCCGUAUCACUCCGCCCAGACAAUAACACAUUAGCCACCCGUAUCACUCCGCACAAUCAACAACAGUGAGAUGCCACCCUUAUGCUCCGCAUAGAAAUAAUUAAUCCACACAAUAAAUUCACAUGUGUCAGCAUCACAACAACACAAUAUAUCAACUCGUACCACAAGUGCCCAUAGGCCACAACCUUUCCAAAACAACAAUAUCAAUAUCAACACAACACAUAGCCCACGACUCAACCACAAUGUGCAUAAGAAUCGCAAUAACAACAAAAUGAAAUGGGAAAAAUUACUCGACAAUGAAAAAUAGUCCAUUAAACAACAACUUCAACUAAAAUAGGUUAAUGUCUUUCAAUGACUUCACUUCAAUUAAUUGCUUAAGAAUAAACUCAAUAAUGAAAGUAUUUUCAUGCAAUUGCAACUCCAAAUAUUAGUGUAUGGCACAAGCUAACAAUGAAAGAGAUGGUCAUGAAAUAGCAACUACGUCUAAAUGCAUGAGAAUAAAUUGUCAACGAGGGAUAUCAUGUAACAACUUCAAUUAAGAAUAACUUAACAAUAAAGAAGGUCACAUUACAAUAAAAGAGGUAACAACUUCAAAUAGAGCAUAUAAGCGUAAACUUGAUAAGUAAAAGAUAUAACAUGUGCUAAUAACUUCAAAUAAAGCAUGUGAGAGUAAACUUGACAAUUAAAAAAUAUAACGUGCACUAAUAACUUAAAAUAAAUGCAUGAAAGAAGCCUAAGAGUCUAAACCAGUCAAUUUUCAUAUAUAAUCCUGUGUACACACUCGUCAUCUCAUGUACACAUCGUCCACGUAAUUCAAAUAAUGCAAUUAAGCUCAUCCUACGGGGUAAUUUUUUUCACAUAAAGUUAGGCAAGAUACUUACCUCAAUGAAGCUAAAUCAAUACUCUAAAAAGACCUUUCCGUGUGAAACAACCUCCGGAUGGCUCGAAUCUAUCCAAAAUAACUUAAUAUCAUAAAUAAAAAUCAUAAAAAAUAAUUUCGGAUAAUAAAGCUUCGAUCAUUAAUAAAAACCAAAAAGUCAUCCCAAAAAGUCAACCCCGGGCUUGUCACACCUCAUUUUUACGGGGAAAGAAGUUUUUCCACUUUAAGUGAUAUUAUUGAAAUGAAAUUAUUCAUUUUACUUUUGAGAGUCGCCACUUAGAAUAAUUAUUUACGGUGUCUCAAGUCAUCAUUUAAUUUAAAAUUCCAAUUCAAGGAAACUGACUCUCUUUAUGUUUGUGAAAUACAGAAGAUCGGGUAAGGAAUUCUGUUAAUCCGGGAGAAGGUAUUAGGCACUCCCAGAUUCCGUAGUUUUAGCAUGGUCACUUUAUAAUCAUAACUUGGCUUGAUUAUCUGUUAAUUACGUAUUUUAAAAUCUAUGUGCAAUUUAACCUUUUACCGCAUUUAAAUUACUUGAUGAUGGCGUUAUGAAAUUAUCUUGAAACGAACCACGUGUGUGUGAAACUGUUUUAUUUAGUGUGCUAAAAUUAUAUCACAUGUACGUGUACACGAUUAAUAACACUUAACUAAUUAUUAAGAUUCUUUGGCCAAAGUCGCGCGGACACAUACCUUGAUUUAUUUUGGGAUCAUAAUUAUGUCACACGAACGUGUACAUAAUCACGAUAAUAUAUUAAAAGCAUGCCUAAAGCAUUCUACGAGUGUUCAAAAUUGUUUAGUCUAAACUAAUUUAUUGUUAAUAUGAGGCAUGAUUAUGGAAAAGCAUUGUGAACUCAAAAUGGGUGAUUUUAUUUAUUUAUGCCUAAACGUGUAAACAAACCCAAUCUUAACACAUAGCAUUUAUAGAAACAAUAGAUGAUCACGUUUUCUUUAAUUUAAUAAAUGGAUAAUAUUAUAGGCUUGAUUUGCAAAGAAAACAUGAGCUAAACUCAGCGUGAGUCCAGACCGCGAUACGGAAUGGGCUCAACAUGGAUGGCCCAAACAAAGUUCGCAUAGUUUCAAGAGAUAAACCCCAAAGCAUUUGUUAUUUGGAACUGGGCCUAAUACUGGCCCAGUAUAAUAAACUUGAUUGAACAAAUUUCAGUAGAUCCACAUCAGCUACAUACCCUCAAACAAUAUGGGUUAAACGAUAAGCAAACCCAAUUAAUUCUAAGAGGUUAUAACCCAAAUGUUCAGCUAAUAACCUAACUGAUUUUGCUAAUUACAACAAUUAGGGAAACUGAGUUAUUACAGGCUUUUCAAAUUAGCUUUACAAAGAAUCAAUAAAUUAAAAAGUGAUCUUCAAAUUUUAAACUAUGGGAAUUAAAAUAGAAUCAACUAUUAUACACCCACUUUCACGCCUAUGAAACUUUGAGUCAGGCCUGGUACUGGCCAAACUCCCAAACUUUAACAUUAGCUAGUGUUUCAUUUUCUAUUUACAGAUCUAAAAGUAAUCAUUGAAACUUCACAUAUGAUAUCAAUUACACACCAAUGACAAUUUUAGCUUUAGGUUAUUCAUACAAGUCACGAGAUCAAAUCUCAUACUCAUCCUCUCAGUUGUUGCUUAGGUUUACAACAUGCUUUAGACAUUAGCUAGAUCAAACAAUUCAAAUUCAAUUCGAAUUUUUAAUUAGACAUGAAAGAAUAUCUAAGGAACACAUAAUGAACAAAUUGAGGCAGAUAUUAUAACGUCAUGACAUCCACAUUGGCAAUUACAUAAUCUGAGACUGAAAAAAGUACCUGGAUAGUGGAUAAACAAUAUGCAAUUAGCCCAAUAAAUGCGAGAGAUAAAAUGACAGAACUCAACUAAGUAGGACACAACAUGCAACUUCAAAUAUGGACUAAAAACAGCUUGAAAACCCAAGAAAAUAGUAUAGAAGACCUCCUUGAAUCAAUCAAUAUCAGCUAAUUAUUUUUUAGUAUGAAAAUCAACCUAAACUUUUACUGUUUUUGUGUUUUUCCUCUAAGUUUUUAAAGCUGAAAAUUUCAGAUCUCAGAAAGGGAAUUUUGAAUUUCAAAACCUUUUUUCAGCUCUCUUUGGUGAGAGGUGCGUGAGUGAGAAUAUAUGAUAGUGAAUAUUAGAGUGAAUGUGAGCAGUCUGUUAUGUAGAAUAAAUUUCAGCAUCUUUCAGUUUUGCUCCCUUUUCUUUUACCCCUCCUAAUUUCUGCUAUUUUUCUCCCUCACCGGGACCUUUUCAGUUUUUUAUUACUAACAAUUCCUUUUUACUCUCUUCUAGAAGCUUUUCCACCAAUUAAGCUAAAAAUUCCUUUAAGUUAUUUCGUAAUAUUACCCUCUUAUCCCUGUAUUUAUCUCUGACCAACAGGCUCAUACCCAAUCCCCCACUUGACGGGCCAGCCUGUUAAGAAAUGGCAGGCCCAAUUCUUAUGCCCAAAUGAACCAGAACAGAUCAAUCAUCUACUGCAGACAAACAAUCUCAGAUGCAACUGCAACCUAAUUAAACAUAAAGUAAUUGACCAAAUAUGCAACUAAACUAAAAUCAAACAAUUAAUCACCAACUAAUCCAAACUCUUAAUUAACCUACUUGAACAGAAAUUUCAAUACGUGGUCAUUAGGCAAAAUUAGAGAAAAUGGGAAAAGAAGUAUACCAGUCAACAUAAACAAAUUCGGCGAGUGAGAAGAUAUCCAAUGGUGAAAAGACUCCGGCAAGCAAUAGAGGAGAGUGAAUUCUGGCCGGUCAACGGGAUUUGACCGACCUUCGGCGACCUCGAAGUGACCUAAAACUAACGUCAAUCGAUUUCUCUCGUCAAGAGCAAUUGAUCAGCAUAAAUUUCAAGUCAAAACGAAUUGAAAAAGGCCGAAAAAUCGAAAAGGGGACAUAUUAGGUUUUAAUAUUUUCCUAGAUCUAUUAAUCGUGGAAUUUGGGUGGGAUUUGAGGGAAAUGAAUAGUGUAUUUGGACUGAGGAAGGGCUGGGGAUUGUAGGGUGACAAUUUGGAGUAAUUUGGAGUGGUGCCGCCAUCGUGGGCAAUAUCCGGUGGGCAGUGGGCGACGGAGAACAGUGAGGGUGAGAGGAGGAGUCUGAGCGUGGUCUCUGGGGGUGGGGUAGGAUGUUUAGGGAACUUUUAUGGGAAUAAAAGGCCAGUUCCUGGC